AGCCGAAACGGUGCUUCGGCACCGUCUGCCGUAGGUGGCGCUACGGUACUGAUGAGGCAGCUGACA
rnacentral:hammerhead_ribozyme from 2 species